rnacentral:rRNA from 1 species
CCGGUAACGGGUGGAGCUGACUGGUACUAAUAGGCCGAGGGCUUGUCCUCAGUUG